UCUUUGGCCUUUCUUUCAAUAAAAAAAAUUAUCCGUUUGAAGAGCAAAUUCAUAUAAAAACACAAAGCUCCGCACAGGAGGAAAUAGUCUUAAUUUUGAGGAGGCUUGUUUUAGCAGAUCCCACCUGUAGAAAGAAGUCGGCAUCCCUCGUCCUAAAUAUCUAGUGAAGCUAUUCAGUGAUCCUAUCCACUGUAUGGUUUGGUGGAGCCCUGUACUGCGUUUCUGUCUUGGGAAAAUUGUAUCAGAAUGGAAUGGAGAGGCGAUUUGGAAGGGAAAUUUUUCCCAAGAUUUAUGAACCCAAUACAAAGAAGAUGAAUAUGAAUGGCAACCAAAUACUAUACUGAUGUGAUUUAAGACUGGAAAAUUACAUAUGGAAUUUUUUGGGUGGAAGAUGGAAACCAUUUCUCUUCCACCAAAAUUUUCAGCACUUAAAUCCAACCACACCUUGUACAGUGUUGAUUCAUUCCACUUACAAAAAUUAUUUUAUGGUAGAUUCUUUCGACACUGCAUAAAGAAAUAGAUGGCCAUAAUACUUCUGGGAAAUCAGAAUUUCAGGAAGAAGUUGUUAGCAUUUUACUGUGCUAAAAUGGUUGAGAACAAACGUAAGCCACACUCCAAUCAUACAAUGUCAAAUGAUGCCCAUCUCAAUUUCAAUCUCAAUAUCAGAGCACUCUGUAAGGAGGGUUGCUUGAAGGUGGCGGUACACAUUCUUCUUACUACACCCGACUAUUCUGUAGACUCUUUUACAUAUCUUCAACUGUUGCAAACCUGUACUUCCAAGAAAUCCCUUUUAGAUGGUAGGAAAAUCCAUUCCCACAUAAAGGAGAGAGAAUUUGAAUUUGCCACAAACAGAUUUGUACAAAAUAACCUUAUAAGCAUGUAUGGCAAGUGUGGACGUUUAGGAGAUGCCCGCAAUGUGUUUGACCAAAUGACUAAACGAGAUGUCUUCUCAUGGAAUAUGAUAAUUGCAUCUUACAGAAGACAUGGAAUUCCUCGAGAGGCAUUGGCAUUAUUUCACCAAAUGCAACGAACAGGUUUCCGACCAGAUAAGUUUACCUUUGAAAUAAUUGUCCCUGCGUGUACCAAAAUAGGAGAUAUAGAACGGGGUAUGGAGAUCCACCAAUCAAUAAUCGAAAGCGGAUUUCUGUCAAAUGUUGUAGUUACCAAUACCCUGAUAGACAUGUAUGCAAAAUGUGGCAAAAUACAGAAAGCAAGCGAGCUAUUUGACAAAAUGCCUCAUCGAGAUAUAGUGUCAUGGAAUGCAAUCAUUACUGGAUAUGCACAUAAUGGACUUGUUCAUAAGUCCUUGGAGAUUUUUAGUCAAAUGCAGUCGGCAAGUGUGAAAGCAGACUCAACUACUUUCGUUGUCAUCCUCCCAGUUUGUUCGAAAAUAGAAGCAUUGGAACAGGGUAUGGAGAUUCAUCAGAGAAUCAUGGAAGGCGGAUUUUUAGCAGAUGCUGUAGUUGUUACUUCCCUGAUAGAUAUGUAUGCAAAAUGUGGAAGCAUACAGAAGGCGCAUGAAUUGUUUGAAACCAUAUCUCGACGAGAUGUGGUCUUAUGGACUGCAAUCAUUGCUGGAUAUGUGCAAAAUGGGCUUAUUGAAAAGGCUUUACAGCUUUUUAAGCAAAUGCAGCUGACAGAUGCGAAGCCAAACUUUGCCACCUUCGCCAGCAUCCUCCCAGCUUGUGCUAAACAAGGAGUUUUGGAACAAGGUAUGGAGAUCCAUCAAAGAAUAAUUGAAAGCAAAUAUUUUUCACAUGUCGAACUUGUGACUGCUCUGAUAGAUAUGUAUGCAAAAUGUGGGAGCAUACAGAAGGCACUCAAAUUGUUUCACAAGAUGGCUCAACGAGAUAUAGUCUCUUGGAAUACAAUAGCUGCUGGAUAUGCAAAAAGUGGGCUUGCUGAAGAGGCCUUGAAAACUUUUAGGGCAAUGCAAUUGGAAGGUGUUGAGCCAAACUCGGGAACCUUUGCUAGCAUUCUCUCAUCUUGUGCCAAAUUGGGAUGUUUGAAACAGGGUAUGGAGAUCCAUCAAACAAUUAUUGAAAGUGAUUUUUGGUCAGAUGUAUCAGUUGCAAAUGCUCUGAUAGACAUGUAUUCUAAAAGUGGAAGCUUACAUAAGGCCCAGAAAUUGUUUGACAAAUUGCCUCAUCGAGACACUGUCUCGUGGAAUGCGAUAAUUGGUGGACAUGCACAAAAUGGGAUUGUUGAAAAAGCCUUGGAGAUUUUUAAGCAAAUGCAAUUGGCAGACGUAAUGUUCAACUCAGCAACCUUUGCAAGCAUACUCCCAGCUUGUGCCAAACUUGGAGUUUUGGAACAGGGAAUGAGCAUUCAUCAAAAAGUAAUUGAAAGUGGUUUGUCAUCAGAUAUUGUGGUUGCAAAUACCCUGAUAGACAUGUAUGCAAAAUGUGGAAGCAUACAAAAAGCACUCAGAUUGUUUAACAAGAUGAAUAAUGCAAACCUGGUCUCGUGGACAGCAAUAAUUGCGGGAUAUGCAAUGCAUGGCUAUGGCAGUGAUGCCGUGAAACUCUUUGAGCUAAUGAAGAGUUCUGGAACGAGUCCUGACCAUAUAAGCUUUAUUUGUGUUUUAUAUGCAUGCAGCCAUGGAGGUCUAGUGGACGAGGGCUGUAAAUACUUUAAUCAGAUGAGAGACAUUCAUUGCAUUAUACCUGCAAUUGAUCAUUAUGCAUGCAUGGUUGACCUUCUUGGCCGUGAUGGCUAUCUAAAGGAAGCCCUGAACUUUAUCAUCAAAAUGGCAGUAAAACCCGAUGUAUUUGUAUGGAUGAGUUUACUUGGUGCUUGUAGAUCACAUAAAGAUAUAUUGCUAGGAGAAUUUGCAGCAACACAAGUUUUUCAGUUGGAACCUAAAAAUUCCUCGACUUAUGUUGUUCUGUCCCACAUUUAUGCAGAAGUGGGCAGGUGGAGUGAGGUUGAGAAGAUAAGGAAAUUGAUGAAAGAUAGAGGAGCUAGUAAGAUACCUGGAUGCAGUUGGAUUGAAGUCCAUAAAAUGAUACAUUCAUUUGCCAAAGGACAUAGAAGACACCCUCAAACACAGGAGAUGUAUGAAGUGUUGGAGAAAUUGUCUUGGGAGAUGAAGGUAGCAGGGUAUAUUCCUGAUACAAAACCUGUAAUCGGUGAUGUGGAGGAGGAAGAGAAGGAAUCACUACUUUGCCCUCAUAGUGAGAGGUUGGCAAUUGCAUUUGGAUUGUUAAACACACCCCCUGGAACAACUAUUAGAGUUGUCAAGAACCUUCGAGUAUGUGAUGGCUGCCACACUACAACCAAGUUUAUCUCGAAGAUUGUUGCAAGAGAAAUUAUUGUGCGAGAUGCAAGCCGGUUCCAUCAUUUUAAACAUGGACAAUGUUCUUGUGGAGAUUAUUGGUGAUUCUAACUGAAUGAAACUGGAACGACUGGCUUGAACUAUAGCAAGGAACCCUGAAUGAAGGGGAAAGAGAGGAGUGCUAGAAGGAAACAGAAAGCUGCUAAGCCAUCAGGGAAUGUGAGAGAGAGGCUCACAAUCGAUGCUUGGGUUAUGAAAUACCAAGGACCUUUUGUGUGAUUUAAACUCUCCUAUUCAGAUUAGCUACUCUGUCAUUCCAAUCUGGUUGUUGGAAUCAAUUGUUGGAGAGGAGUGGAGAGGAUUGAAACUUUCAAAGAUCGCUCUUGCUAAAUUAUGUGAAUCUGGCUUGCUACCUUCAUAUGUUGCAUUUUAUAAGAAAAGAUGAUGUUCUGUAAUGAACAAACAAUUUAAAAUUUAAACAUCUGAAAUAAAAGAUUAAUAAUAA